CCUGGUGGCUCAGAGGUUAAAGUGUCCGCCUGCAAUGCGGGAGACCUGGGUUCAAUCCCUGGGUCAGGA
rnacentral:tRNA from 1 species